UGAUGAGCCUCAUCUAACAUGAACAGAGAAUAAGCUAGUGUGAUCUGAGAGUGUAUCCUAUGCCAAACGUUGUUCAUGGCUGCACAUUGCAGGGGGAAAAUCAGGAGUUACAAGUGAGUUGUAUGUCUGCCAUUACUGCCUUAUAAGCUUCCAAGGAAUACCAGGAUUCCCUGAAACACUGUUGGAAGACCACUGGGUUAAACCUGUACAGAAGCUCAUUUUUGUGGAAGUUCUUAGCAAGCUUGGCCCCAUUACCACACACAAGGACUUGGAAGUACCCGAUCCUGCUGUGGCCUUAACAUUGUGAAUGGGAUCGUCCCCUAGCCCCUUAUGCUGUUUACUGGAGGAUGACUAGGAGAGUAUCAUCUACAGGAACGAAGGCUGCAGCAGAGUCUUUGGCCCUGGAUGACUCUUACAUGUACAUUGGAAUGAACACACAAUGGAGGAGAACUCCCAUGAUUAAUCUGCCCACUAGACUUCUUAAGCAGGAUCCUAAAGAAGGAAUUGUAUGUCAAGUAUUACUUUUUCAAUUAAUGGAAAACUCUUCUUGUUGUUGAUUUUCAAAUAAGGGCUUUACCUUUUUAUAUUCAAAGUUUAUACUGGGUUUCUUUUUUAUUUGGAGUUCUCAGAGUAAAGGAAUACUCAGAGUCCUAGCUCCAAAUCCCAAGAGUCGGCGAGUAGCCAAUUUCUGUUUGUAUUCCAAAGUCAUAUGAAGAGUACUCUCUGGCAACCCAGCCUGGAAGAGGCUAUAAUGUGAAUAUGACAGCUAGGCAAUAUUUGGUUGGCGAUAUUAGAGAAGAAGUGUAUAAGUGCCGCUGAAGAGGAAAUCAGCCAGACUUGACUCUAGGUAAGUGGGAUAUCAACAAUGUUUCCUAAACCCUCCUGUUGUUGCUGUAUGGAAGUUUUUGUUUGUUUGUUUAAAUUUAUAUACCACUUAAUUGUGACAAAAACAUCAAAGUGGUUUACAAAAUUGGGAUCCUAAAUCAUAUUAUUUCCAUUUUUUAAAAACUCAGUAAGAGCAAAGGACAGAGAAUGGAGAGCACAAAUAUUUCAAAAACAGCUAUUGCAAUAAAGAUUCCCAGUAUUUCUAACAUAUCUUUCCCCUCCUUUUCCCCUAAGAUAUCAGAACAGUCAAAUAAUCAAGGGAAACUUAUUUUUUGAGGGAAUCUUGUAAAAUAUUGAUUGGGGAGAAUUAAUACUGAAAGGGAAAAUUAUUUCUGAGGAUCUGGCUUAGAAAGGCAUUAUUUGUGGGGUAGGGGUGUCAGAGGAGAAUCUGGCAGGGAAAUUAAACUGUGAAAAGAGAAGCUGUUUUCUGUAUGUUUCGGUGAUAAUUGUGUUUGACCACUGCAGCAAAAGUACACCAAAUUCAUCUUAGUCCAAAAGCAGCGAUCCAGAUACUUCUGAAAACAAGCAGCGCAGGGCAGGAAGGUAUGCCAGAUACUACAAAUGUAUUUCAAUUCUUAAUGUGUUGGCUUGCUCUGCAAAAUCCUAGCAAUCUCUCUCUCAGGGGUGGGGAAUCUGUGGGACACCAGAGGUUGCUGGAUUCCAACUCCAGAAUGGCCAGUGAUUCGGAACUGGAAUCUAAGAACAUAUCAGGGGUGUCACAGAGUUCCCACCACUGACGUAAUAUUUCUGUUUGAAAACAACAACUGAUAUUGUGGUGCCCCUUGUAUUCCCCACUUAUGAAAGACCAGUAGUACACAAUCCCCACUCUCUGUAACAGAUUAUGCCACCUUCACUUAGCCUUAUCAUUCUGCAUACAAUUCAGAUUUUAAUCUGAAUUGAUAUGCUCCCUUUUAAUUGCAGGGAAGAAGCAAUCAAGGGCUAAAAACUAAACAUUGAUCAUUCAUAGCAUGAAACUGGCACUUAUAGCAUAUUCUGCCUGAUUUGCCAUUAACUUGCUGCGGUGGUCUGCUUUUUCUGCAACUGUUGGCCUGUGAAUGGCCAUUGAGUUGUUCAGUUCCUGCACUUUGCUGGCCAGACAAGCCAUUGAUAAAAAGGGACGUUGUGGUUUUGAAUUACAGACAGACCAAUCAAUCAGGGGACAAAGGAUGAAGGCAAGUUAUUAAAAUUCAAACUGCAUCUCAGCUUCCUGUAGAAUUUUAAAAAUUAUUAUUACAGCUAACUUCAUCAGCAGUCAGAAUAGACAUGAACUUGCCGGCAACUGACAUUUAAAAACUUCUUUUUGUGAUUUACUUCUUAUUUUUCUAUGUCAUUAUCUUUGCCUGAACAAUGGGCCAAUAUGUGUGACAGGAGAUUAAAAGUCCCAUGUCCCUUCAUACUUUGUUGAAAUAAAGUUUAAAAUAAAUUAAAAUGCAUUAGAUUUUUGCAAAGCAUCAGAGCAGAUUUUUGGCAACACAAUGUUUUUAAAUUGCACAACUUUGGGGAAAUCUAAUAUAGACUGGUAUAAAAAGUAUGUGUGCUUGACCAAUGAUCAGGGGCAGAUAUAUUAUCUGGUUGCCACUAGCCUCCUAAAGUGGGAAAUGGCUGUGCUGGAUAAAAGACAUUAAAUGUGUUUUCUGGAGUCUGUUUCUCCAUAGACCCACAGCUGAGGUCAAUGCAGAGCAGAAAUUUUCCAUCCCCUGGAGCAGCUUGCCAUGAACUUGAUUAUAUGACCAUAUAAAGGUGUAUCAGAUGUAUCUGUAGGUGUUGGAUUAAUAUGCAAAUACUGGAAGAUUAUGUUAUACCUCUUUCGGUCCUAUUUGCAGAGCUGGCUGCUUGCUCAUUUUACAGUGUUUUUUUAAAGUCGUUUUAUUUUAACGGUUCACAGUUUAGAGGUGGGGAAACAAUAAAGGCUAUUCCACCUCCCUUUUACAAGCCGAGGCCAGAAAAACACAGCAGAAUAUUAGAAAUACAAAUGACAAAGGCAGGAAUGAAAUCAUAUGCCUGUGAUGGCUUGGGAUUCGGACUCAGAGGCUGAACCUGAGGAAUCCCAGCCUGCACAGGAGUCCCCGCCUCCAGAACCAGCUGAGCUGGGGCUGGGGCCUGAGCCUGAAGGGUCCUCCCCUGUGUUGGAUCCUCAGCUGCAGGCACCAGCUGAGUCUGCUCUAGCCCCAGAGGUGAUGGAGGACCCGUUGCCUGCAGGUGCUCCACUCUCAGCCCCGUCAGGGGAAGAGGAGGUUGCCUCUGGGUCCGGUAACCCUCCAGCCUCUCCUGAGCUGCAGAGGCUCAGGGCAGAGAGGCAAAGGGAACUAAGUUCCUGCAGGAGGAGUGCUCGCCUCUGGGCCAGGAGAGGCGAGUCACCUGUGGACCGGGGCCACCCUACACCUUGGGGCAGAUAAAAGCCAAUCAGCCCCAGUCCCAGUUGCGGGAGCAACGUUGUUGCUAGCCUGUCCUUGCCUGCACCCUGUCCUGCUCUUCUGCCAGAGUUCCUGACCCCACCCGACUCCCUGCCUUGGACCCAGCUACAGCCUCCAUACCGCACCAUCGACCUUGGACUGGACUCGGACCUCGCCUCUUGGUUAGCCCCCGGGACCAGCACAAAGCCAGUCUUCCCAUCACACUCUCAGGGUGCUCAUGAUUCUGGGUGGAGAGGCAGCAGACGGAGAGGCUUCUCUUAGGAAAGGCAGCUACUGACGGAUCCAGAUUUGGGGGCUGGACAAAGUGCCUGGUGACUUUACAGGGUGACAGGUGACAGUGGUAGUAUGGGCAUAUGCAGUAGCGCUGAAAGGAAAGUUGGGUGACUAGCAAGCAAAAGAGGGAGCCAACAUUUUCAUCUCUCCUCAUUGCUCUCAAUGUAGUGUCACAGUGGAUUAAUGGUGGAUUUAAGAGCGUUUUUCAGGCUCCAUUCCAGGCAACACUUGGUUUCUCAGAAGCCAAUGAAAAAGGUCAGCAAUGGCAGGGUGAGACAUUAGGGCAUAGGUGCCAACUUCCUGGUGCCCUGGGUGCCCAAGCACCCACAAAAUUCUUCAUGAAGGGACUGGGCACCUGCAAAUUUCAGUGUCAUACACGCUGUAGGGCACCCACGGUCACAGGGCCAAGUUGACACUCCUGCAUUAGUGUCCUCAGUCCUCAUCUGACAUGCUCAGUACUACACCACAGUGGUCUGUACAAGUUGCAUAUUCAUAGGUUCCACAUAGGUAUAUUUGGCUGAAUGGACAAAGGCUGGGAAUAGGGUCUGUCACCAUGAACACAACUCUCUCCUCCAUGUAUCCUGCUCAUCAUCUAGACAAGGCUUGGAUCUUAAAUCAAGAACCACAUUUCCUCAUGGUCAACCAUGCCUGUGGUGGUUGGGGCCAGAGGUGAAAGGGGAUGGCGCAACGGGUAUGACUCCUAUAUUUGCAUGGUAGGUUAUAUAUUCCAGCCAAGCACAAGUUUCUGUAAGCCCAGUUACAUUUUCCAUACAGACAAGCAAGAGGCAUCAUCACUGUUCAGUAACACAUUUCAGCCACACAGAAACACUCAGGGAAGGUUGUGGAACAGGGCUGGCAUGGAAAGUGGGCAAGAGAGAAGGUACAGCCUAGGGAGAGUCCCAAGACCUGAUGCUCCCCACCUGUAUUCCCCUGUAUUGGAACAGGAAUAAACAAAGCACUUAGCUUCCUAUAAACACAGCCUACUCUAAGCAGUCAAAAUGGCGGUCUUGCCAAGUUUCAGUGGGGAGCUUCCAAACUGAAUGCACAAAUGCAAAGGUCUCAAUCUUCCAUGUUCUGCAUAGGUGGGCUAGGAGAGAGAUGCAAAGACAGGUUGAGGGCUGAGGCACAAAACUGGCAGCAUCCCUUGGAUUUGGCGAAGGAGAGGCUCCAGGUGGAAAGAGGACUGUGGCCAACUUUCCAUGGACUUAAUGGUUGGUGAGUUUCAAUGGUCACUAUUUUUGCUUAGUGCAUAUAUUCCUUUAUGAUGAUGCCCCAUCUUGAUUGAUGCAGAACAAAAAGCAUACUUUCAAAUUCCUGCCUUCAGCAGCAGGAAGCUGAUUAUCUUCCAAAACUGUCAUAACGAAAGGAAGGCAAUGACUGCUAAACUGAGCAAUUGCUCUUCACUGGACCCUUAGAAAUCUUUGACAUCCACCUCCGUAUGCCAUAAUGAGUGUGUUAGUCUUUAAGGUACCAGAAGAUUAUUUUUCAGGAAAAAAAGACCAACAAAGUUGCCCUUAUGGAAUUUAUUUGGAGAUUAUCAGGGAAAGAAACCAAUAGGAGAGUUACAGUACUUAAAAGUUGCCUUGGGCACCUUUGAAAUUAAGUUGCUAGCUUUUACCAUAUUUAUUACAUUAAUAUCCAGCCUUUCUUUCCAUCAUAGCACUCAAGGGAGCAUAUGCUGAGUUUCCCAGACCAGUCCCAGACCUGCUUAGCUUUAGCAAGAUGGUUUUUACCCCAGCCGAUGAGAAAAUAUUUUACUGUUUCAAUGACUGGUUGGUCAUUGAUUGACAAGAGAACAGUUUAAAUAAAGAUUUAAACUGCAGUUACAACUAUACCAAGGCUGCAACCCUGUGUAAGCCCUGUUGAACUCAGAUUUAUUUUCUAAGUAAUCAUGAAUAGCAGAUGUGGGGAACCUUAUUUUUCUUCCGGAGGGAAAGGUGGGUAGAGGGCAGCUUGCCUUCCGGAAAUGCUGUCCAACACUUCCAUUCCACUUGGUCUCCCCAGGAAAGGCAGGAUCAUGUGCUGAACCCCUCAGGUUGCAUUCUACUGUUGCAUAGGAUGCUGCUGCAUGUAUUUUUUUUUAUUGUACUCCUAGCUAAACUGACCAUGCCAACUUCAAAUCUCACAUGAAAGCAUAUGCCGUCUUGUGAAAUCUUAAAAAGUAUCUUUGCAGUCAAAACCAAGUGCAAAUUCUCACUCCAUUGUGUAUAUUCAGUUGAAACAGAAUAUGUUUUCUGUUAAUAUAUAGGAACCCUCAAACUAUGCAUCGUUUAUUCUACCUAAUGUGCUUCUUUCAAAUUCAAAUAACGCAGAAGCAUUUGUUGGAAGCAGCCAAGUGUGCUUUCCUUGUCCUCGUAUAUAAAAGUGCAAAUGUUAACCAUGAAUUUUAAAAAGGUCACUGCAGUUGGUCAAUCAGUAUAAAUUGGAUGUAGCUUGUGGGCAGAAAUGAAUCUAGUCAAGCACUUAGGUCUAUGGUUUCCUUGUCUCUUCCAUGAGCUCUUCUUAGGCUGUGCUGUUCAUCUUCCUGCUUAAAGGUCCAGUUCAUAGGAAUAUGGGAAGCUACCUUAUACUGAGUCAUUGGUCCAUUUAGCUCAGUAUUGCCUUUCCAGAUCUUCAGACAGGACUCUCUCCCAGCCUUCCUUCGAGAUGCUGGGGACUGAACUGGAGACAAAGUAGAUGCCCUGCCAUUAAGCUAUGGCCCUCCCCCAAUAGAUCCUAUGGUGGAGCACCACUGGGACUUGUUAGGCGGCCCUUAUUCCCCCCGCAGAGCUACAAUUCUCAGAGUGGUUUAACAAUCACCCCUCAUUCAGGGGAGCUCCUGGAACUGUAGCUCUGUGAGCAGAAUCAGGCUAUCCUAACAACUCUGCACAACUUGGUUGUGCAAAUGAGCCACAAGGGGCAGGCUUGUAGACUUGCUCCCACAGGUGAGCAUUUUGCUUUCA
rnacentral:lncRNA from 1 species